CCUGUUCCCUCCUAGCUGUGACCAUGGGCAAGUUCCACAACCUCUCAGUUUCUUUGCAUUGAAAGUGGGAAUAAUUCACAGCUCCUCCAUAGGAUUACUGUAAGGAGAUGAAGUGAGACAGUGCAUGAAAAACCCUUGCCUACUGCCUAGCACAUGUGCUCCAGAGGGCUUUGAUCUGUCACAGGGCUCCCUUGGGGUAAUUGCUGCUGUUCUCAAGUCAUUCGCAUUCAGACAGGAUGCUCUCAGCAGCCAGCGGGUCAAAAUAACAUGAUACAGAAUUAUCAACAUUCAAUCCAAAAAAGAGAGAGACAACUUCAUAUUGCAAGGCCUGGUGACAAAGCUUCAAGCUCUCAACUGUGUCUCAGGUUCAAAUCCUAUCUCUAUCAUCUAUCAACAGGGUGAGGAUAUCAAUAAAGCCUCUAUAAUAAGGUCAAUGUGGUGAAUGAUAUCCCCAUGUAAUGCAACGGGAUAGAUUUUGGCUACUAGCACCAAAUGAAAAGGGAAGUUUGUCAAAAAUAAAAAGGGAGACCGCUCCAUAGAUCAGGGUAUCUACCACCGCAAUAUCCCACCUUUAACCUCCUGCCGAUUUCUCUUUCAAUGCCCUGACUUACCCACUUGUGCCAUGGCAAUCCAACAACAAAAUAUCAAAAGUUCAGAGACACAUUUCUAUUUUCCUAUUCAGGAAAAGGACUACAGAACAUUAACCAUUUACAGUUAAGAAACACCAGAGAAGUCGAAUCUGAUUUCCUAGAAGCUGUACCCAGUGAUGACACACCAGGUACUCAGAGAGGUUUCAGGUUCUUUCCAGCCCUGGGCCUUCUUGAUCAACUUCUAGCUAUGCGGAGAGCAGUCUCCUGAUACUCUCUGACACAAUUCCUGGCCUUCCUUCUCCUCUUGGUCUCAUCCUUAGGCUGCUAGUUCUCUCCAAAUUCUACCCAAUGCCUAGCUCACCUGGACCUGCAUCUAUGUGGCAACUACCCAGCUCCUCCCUCGUCCAAGCUUUAUGUCUUACAGUGUUCACAGCUGCCCACCAGUCUCAGCCCCACCUUGGAAUGGUGUUCGGACAUAAGCAAUGUAUUGAUUAGGUACCCAUGUGCAUUUUCAAAUUGACUUCCAUAGACCGUAUUCCAGUUUUGAAGUACUCUAGACACCAUAUUGAUUUAAGAUACAUAUAUGCAUAGUCAUUCUACAUUGGGUGCUUCCUCAGAAAUCCCAACUGUCUCAACAAGGCCUUGCUCAUUGAUACCUUGCUUGACUAACAUCUAGGGAGAUCCCAACUUCAUGCCCAGCAUCCUUAGGAAACGGUCAAACCUGGUAGGAAUUAGAAUCCACCACCAAUCUGGUCUGUCUAGGGAGACUUCUUUCAGCCUCCCCUUCACCUGACAGUAGAAAAGAAAUAGACUCCAGGUUUGAAUUCUCACUCUCCCACUUCUUACCUCACCACUCAUUUUAUCUUCCUGCUCCUCAGUUUCCUUGCCUGUAAGACAGGAAUAAAAACACCCUUCCAGAGAUCCCCUGAGAAUGAAUGGCAAUACAGAGUGUUUGUCACAUAAUAUUGUUCAGGGGAUAGUAGCUGUUUUUCUUGGAAUAACCAUUAAUUAUAGCAGGCUUGAAGAUGGCUGCUGCCUGCCCCAUCCCUGUGUCCAUCAGGUAUUUCACACACACACACCUCCACCUAUCCCAUCCCUCAGCUGGUUUCUAACUCCUCUGUUCUAACUCCUGUAACUCCUCUGUUCCUCCAAGUGAGUUCUGGCACCGGUCUGCUCUCACUGCCUGUGGGUGGUGUGCUAGGGCCGAUGUGUACCAGUUCACAAGAGCUGGCCUUGACAGCUCUUCCCAGCUCCAUGUUCAGGGGCUGCCAUAUUGAAAUCAGACACAUUCAGAGUAUAUACACCAAUGAGCUCAGCAAACACUAUGAUGAGGGCUUUGUCCUCACAGAGUGUUUGUUAAGCAUUUUCCCAUGAAUACAGAUAGGCCUGCACUUUAAAGCUAAAUCCAGGCCAAAAUGUAGAGGGCAACACCCAGUUUAAGAGCAGAAACAGGAGCUGGGAGUGUGGCUUACAGGUAGAGCAAGUGCUUAGCAUGCCUGAGGGCCUGGAUUUGACCCCCAGCCUGUACACUCCCCCCACACACACAGCUUCGCGCAAGCAACAUCACACCAGGAAACAAAAAGCAAUCUAACAAAUGUACACUGUCCUCAAGGUUAACCCUGCCACAGAUGAGAUCAGCUCAGCACAACUCAAGUAUUUUCUUCCUGCCUGGUCCUCCUGGGGAUUCGGUCAUCAGAGUGCUGUGGUGAAAAUCUCCCAGGCCCUCAGUGGCACACCCUCCGUGGGCUCCUAGAAUGCCUCUGCUCUGGCCUGGAAAUGCUGUAUAGCAAAUGGAGUACAGAAGAAGACAAAUUCUUUCCAGGUGGGAAAGGAAGCCCUGGCUUUCUUUCUUUGUUGACAAGGCUCUGAACCACACCAUUUGCUAAGGUACAAGCAUUUUCAGCUUGUGGCUGCUAGAGGGCCUAAGCAAGUGUCCUGCCCAUCCGUGCUGUUCAGCUAGGGUUCUCCUUGUUGAGGACCACAUUAGGAGUGUGUCAUGAGUAGUUACUCAAUGUUUGGCCAAGCUUACCUUUCUAAUCCCCUUGAAGAAAGAAGACUUCCUUAAGCAAAUGAAUGGGUAUGUGGUGAGGUGGGAGGAAGGAUAUUUUUCCUUAUAGGAAAUGUGUUCUCAUGGAUUUCAGAAAGCGGACCAUCAUCUGGUUUUAUGGAAUCCUGUCUAUCUGUAGCGGAUUUCAUGAACCUCAUUUUGGCAGUAUUUUGUUCCUGCCUGUACCUGAAAAGACUCCCCACAACCUGAUCCGGGGAUAUCCCCCACCUUUCUGCCAGGGCCAUGUCUCCUGUCAUCAGGUACCAAGAAAGACCUCCCAGUAAUAAUGGCAGAUGUGAAACAGUGGGGAAUUACCGAGGCACUUCGCGGGCUGCAAAUCCCUCUCUCGCACUUUCUCGUCUGUGCUUCCGGUGAGCCUCAGACCCUCUCUGUGACCCAGGCCUUGACGUGUCUGCCGUCCUUUAAAUGAGAUGAUGCAACGGGGUUGGCUGAGUGCCUGGUAGAGGCCUGGUCACAGUCCUCCUUUCCCUAAAAUUAUGUUUUAACUCAACUUUAUGAAGAAAAGCCACACACUUUCCAUCCUCCCCACCACUACCUCACGCUGGCAACAGUUUCAGUUCUCAUGAAGGGAGGUUUGUGUGUAAACACCAGACCCCUCCUCCCACAGGCCGGACCUCCGAAGGACUCCUGUGGUCCUCUGAAGUCAGCUAGGGCGGGGUCAAGACAACAGCUGCCAUUCUCCCAGGACUGGCUUUCAUCUCUUGCUUUGUCUUUUCAACCUCUCUCUCUUCUUUCCUCCCAAACUAGUGAAUACACAAGUGCUUCAAG